rnacentral:rRNA from 1 species
UACAGAGGGUGCAAGCGUUAAUCGGAAUUACUGGGCGUAAAGCGUGCGUAGACGGUUAUGUAAGUCAGGUGUGAAAGCCCCGGGCUCAACCUGGGAAUUGCAUUUGAGACUGCAUAGCUAGGGUGCGGAAGAGGGAAGCGGAAUUUCCGGUGUAGCGGUGAAAUGCGUAGAUAUCGGAAGGAACAUCAGUGGCGAAAGCGGCUUCCUGGUCCAGCACCGACGUCAGGCACGAAAGCGUGGGGAGCAA